GACACUUCCGGUAUUACAUUGGCGGGAUAACACAAACGAGGUCCUUCUCGGAUAACGCGACGUGUUUGAUUCAAAGCCAAGCGGCUCUACGAUUUUCACACCCAAGAUGCAGCUCCACAUCACGCAGCACAGAGUGGGCAGGAGCAGAGCCAGUAGUGAUGAGGGGAUUGUUCCUGUCAGUAUAAAGGAACAGCUUUUGAAUUCACGGCGGUCUGUUGGUCGCUCCAUUUUAAAUGAUGAAGAAUGAGGGGGUGCCAACAUGCCUAUGAGUACGAGACCGACACGAAGACAAAGACACAUGGAAAGUUUAUCCACCGGAAUGGG